GACCGUUUGGCACAGUGGUCCAGCGCGCCAAUUUCUUACAGGUAUCGCGCGUUCGAUCCUCGGAAGGGUAU